CAUCACUACGCUAGAUGCAUAUCAAUAAGCGGAGGAAAAGAAACUAACAAGGAUUCCCCUAGUAACGGCGAGUGAAGCGGGAAGAGCUCAAAUUUGAAAUCUUAAAGGGUUUCCCUUUACGAAUUGUAGUUUAAAGAAGUGUUUUCUGUUGGAGUUUCGGUAAAAGUUCUUUGGAAUAGGACAUCAUAGAGGGUGAGAAUCCCGUAUUUGACCGUUACUUUCCAGCUGUGUGAUACACUUUCAAAGAGUCGGAUUGUUUGGGAAUGCAGUCCAAAAUGGGUGGUAAAUUUCAUCUAAAGCUAAAUAUUGGCGAGAGACCGAUAGCGAACAAGUACCGUGAGGGAAAGAUGAAAAGAACUUUGAAAAGAGAGUUAAACAGUACGUGAAAUUGUCAGAAGGGAAGCGUUUGACACCAGUGUUGUUUAGUUGAAAAUCAAUUCAAUAAUUUUUGAUUUUGAGUAGUAUUGACUUCAUCAGCUUGCUGCUUUCUUUUCCGAAAUUAUUGAAUGCACUUUUCAGUUAACAAGUCAACAUCAAUUUCUUUUGUUGUAAAAGGGUAAGAGGAAGGUGGCUUACGCUUCGGCGUAAGUGUUUAUAGCCUUUUACCUCUGCAAUCGGAGAGAUUGAGGACAGCAGCGUAGACUCUUCGGGGUUAGAUACACUUGUGCUAAGCUAUAGCCUUGUAUAGACAACUUGUUGACUAUGCUCAGUCAUGUAGCUUACUCGCUUGUGCUAUUUUACCUACGCUUAGGAUGUUGAAGAUAUGCGCGACACG
rnacentral:rRNA from 1 species